UAAGGGUCUGAAAAGACGAGGUGAAGCUGGA
rnacentral:piRNA from 1 species